AACGAACGCUGGCGGCAUGCCUAACACAUGCAAGUCGAACGAGACCUUCGGGUCUAGUGGCGCACGGGUGCGUAACGCGUGGGAGUUUGCCUCGGGGUACGGAAUAACUCAGGGAAACUUGAGCUAAUACCGUAUGAUGUCUUCGGACCAAAGAUUUAUCGCCCUGAGAUAAGCCCGCGUAGGAUUAGCUAGUUGGUGAGGUAAGAGCUCACCAAGGCGACGAUCCUUAGCUGGUCUGAGAGGAUGAUCAGCCACACUGGGACUGAGACACGGCCCAGACUCCUACGGGAGGCAGCAGUGGGGAAUAUUGGACAAUGGGCGAAAGACCUGAUCCAGCAAUGCCGCGUGAGUGAUGAAGGCCU
rnacentral:rRNA from 1 species